rnacentral:lncRNA from 1 species
GGUGUGUAUGUGGUGUGUUUGUGGCAUGUGUGUGGCGUGUGUGGGGGUGUGUGUGGCGUGUGUGUGAAUGCACACACUAGUGCUGCAGAGGGGUUGCAAUGCAGCAGAGAUGGUGGCAGAGACAUGGACGUAGUUCUUGCCAAACUGUGUGUCACUAAGAGUCUCAUUAAGGAGAGAAGGCCUGCCGAAUGGGAGGGCUUGGAGCUCUGCUGCAAGGGGGAAGAGACUGAGUCUGGGAGGGAGUAACAGUCCUGAAGCCUCGUGGUGACUCCAGGGCUUCCAUGACCCAUUGGCAAGCAUGUGGGUUGAGUGGUGUUUCCCCAAAAGAUAUGUUCUAGUCCUAGCCCCUGGCACCUGAUGAUCUUACUUGGAAAUAGGGUCUUUAUGAGAUCAUACUGGAUUACAGUGGUGCUAUGGUCUGAAUGUUUAUGUCCCCCCAAAUUCAUAUGUUGAAAUCCUAACUCCCAAGGUGAUAGUCAUUGGAGUUGGGGCCUUCAGGAGGUGAUUAGGUCAUCAGAGUGAAGCCCCCAGGAAUGAGAUCAAUGCCCUUAUGAAAGAGGCACGAGGCCACUCAUUCACUCCUUCCACCAAGUGAGGUUACAGCGAAAAAACUGCUGUCUGUGUGGUGGGCCCUCGCCAGACACUGGAUCUCUCACCAUCUUGAUGUUGGACUUCCCAGCUCCCAGAACUGUCUUUCCUGAGCACACAGAAGAUCAAGACCACACUCACUGACUUCUCAUAGUCAAGCAAUUUUGGCCAAUUAAAUGUCAGUUGGAAACUCCUGUGUCAGCUUCUCUGUGGCGGUGAGAAGUCCCUGUGUGACAUCCCAACUCUCCCCUCACCUGCGUUGGCAACCAAGAAAGCCUUGUGUUGGAGGUGGGGCCACAAGUUUAAAGCUAAGUUACCACCUCGAGGGCACAUUCCUGGAGAGCUUCCCAGGCCCACAGUGGCACGUGUAUGAGUGACAGAUCCACUUCUUUAUUACCUUUUUGAAGAACAGGAACCUUUGUCUGGAAAUUCCACAAGUAUGCCUUUUGCAAGAUUAAAAGUGCCACAAAGAACAAAAAUGAGCCCAGGACCAGAUGCAUGUUAAAAGCCAUCAGACACGUUAAGUUUCAUCUCCAUUGACCUGCAGAAGGAGUCUCUCACCACAGCCACCACAUCUAUGCAUGUGCUGAGUCACAUGUGAAGCCAGCACAUCUCAGAGUCUCACCGAAAGCUCAUGGUGAGACAAAGAGACUAGAAGGGGUAGAGUCAGCUAACUUCUCUCCUCCCACCACUGAUGAGGUUUUGGUGAAUUCUCUUCCCUUGCUCACUUGCAGAUUCAGCAGAGUUGUCUAUAGUGGCUUAAUUGGAAUUGCUGGACAAGAACAUUGAUUCUGCUUCACUCAGGUAAAGAUGAAAGUAACUGCAACAAUGGAUAUUGCAUUUGAAGGUCAUUGAGUUGUAGUCAGGCAAGGGGAGCAGAUAUUAAAACAUACACGCACAAAAUAAUGGGAUUUUUAUUUAGCAUCUCGCAAGUCUUGAGUAACAUAGUAUUAAUUGACCUUGAGAUUUCAUUCUUUUGUGACUCAUUGCAUUUGCUUUUGUGUUUCAGAUUAAUAUAGAAUAUUUUAAAGAAAGAGUAAUACAGCCAAUUUUAAUCUCUGGGAAGUUUAUGCAAGACAUAAUUUAUUUGUAAACUUUAUAAUAAUAUGUGAAUUAAAGACCCUUGUUAGUUUGGUAUGAAUCUGACAUAAGGGCUAAAAUCACUUUUUCAUUAGCCUUCUCCUGAUCUCAGGUUUACACCUAAGAGAUUCUUCACUCCAAAGUCUUCAUUUCCAAGCACAACCUGCUGGGUGCUGCGCUUUUCUGAGGUCUCCUCCCCAGCUCUGCAUCUAGCAGUGCUCAUGAUGCAAUGAUUUCCUGUCUGACUAUCCCAUUCCUAUCCUUUGCAAAGUUCACAUAGACCCAUUUGAGUACACUUUUAGUAGCAUACCAAGUUUAAGUGCCAAAGUUGUGUUUUAGUUCUUUCAUCCAGAAAGAAAACAUCAGCUGUUUCAAAUUUUAGAGUCCAGCUUGGGCAACAAGAGAAUUGUCAUGUCGUCGAUUGUGUAGUAAGACACAGUGAGUGUCCAGCAAUGUAAAAUCAGUCUAUAAAUGAGAAGAUUAAGACCAAAAGCAUCGGGUUACAAACAUCUCACUAAAGCCCAUUAGCAGGCAGAGAGCUCUCCGCGGAGCUAGAAAAUGAGACUUUUCCCUCCUUUCUGCCCCAUACAUUAGUGCUGAUCUCAGGAGCUCAUUUUUGCACCCUUUGUGGCAGACAACCAUAUAAUCAAAGGGUUCCCAUCACUAAAUCAUUUGAAAAGACAAGUAGAAAUUAGCUUUAGCUAAUUUAACUAGCCUUUGCCCCUCCUCCUGACCCUGAGGGUGAAGCACAUUUUAUCAUUCAUCCUCUGGGGGCUGGCUUAUGCUGGCUCCCUUUCCUUUGGCAGUGAUUUUAAGCAACCAAGUUCUUAUUACAAUUCUCAAAUUUAAAAUUAAGUUCUGAUCACAUCUUCUCAGGGCAUACCUAAGAGGCAGUGUUUAUCCCCAGCCAAAUCAAUUGUUUCCUCAAGUGACUCAUUCCUGAAAAUGUUAUUGUUUCUAAUAACCAGCUCAAAUAUGUAUUUUCAUUAAUCUUUUCUUUUACCUCCAUUUCACACGUGUUGCUGCAUGUCAGGCAGUUUCCACAAGGAUCUGCCAUGACAUCAUUGUGUGAGGUAUGAAAAAAAAAUUUUUUUUUUUCUAAUUUAAGAAUUACUUUUACUCAGAUGGUGGCUGGGCUGGGAAAUGUUCCCCAUUGCCCUGGGAGUUUUAGGCCAAGGCUUGUGUGUGUGUGUGUGUGUGUGUGUGUGUUGGAAGGGUCUCUCAUUGCCUAUUUCUGCUUAUAUAACACACACUGGUUUAGGUAGGUGGAGUCAGAAUGGGAAGAGGAAGUUCCCUAAGUGUUUCUUGCAUGCAAAGGUAAGUGGAGAAUGCCCAUCUGGGCACACAGGGCAAGGAUGCAGUGGAGUGACCUCUCCUUUCCCCUCCAACUCACAUGCUGGAGUUUAAAAACUGUAUCAGGAUGACAGAAACCAAGGGGUAAGACCACGGCUUCCUCUGGGGAUCUUCUAUAAACUGUAAGAACAAACACAGGUAUUUUGUAGUUCUUUAUCACAACGGGUCCUUUGCUGAUGAUUCUAGGUUUUAUGACUGCUGUUUUAUGUCCUACAAAUAGUAACAGGCAUUUCCCUUUGCCCUACACCACAGUAAGCCACUGGCCUAGACAAGAAGCAACUCUGCACUGCUUUUCAAACAUCAUCCUCCCUCUCGACCGCAGGGACUAUUUGGUUUCUAUUCUACUUCUGGCCUUUCAUAUUCCUGAUGGUGCAUUGGAUGAAACCCCGCAGCCAGGCGUGUGAACGUGGUUGAAAAGACCCAUGGAGGACCAGCAACGCUUCCCCACAGCGUGGGAUGGUCCCCUCCUGAGAUGGCCCACUGUCAGCGGGACUGACGCCAAGCACUGCAUCCUGUCUGCUUCUUGAACAGCCCCUUCAUUGUUUGUUCAGCUAUUCUGCUGCAUCUGCAGAUAGCCCUGCCUGAGAAACAGCCUCAAACCAGAAGGAGAGGAUGGCGGCAAGCCUUAGAGAAACAUGGAUGUUAUGUGGACUUCAUUGCCUCAGAGAAAAUUCCUUUUAGGGCUGAAGGCAGAGAAAGUCAGCAUUGAUUUCUGGCCUAAGCUCUUGGGAGUUUAGAGGGUUUGUCAAGGAGCCAAAAGAGGCAAAGGGACUUGAAGAUUUGGACGGCAUGUCUCGGAGAAGUAGCCCCACUCCUAGAGGAGAUGACAUUUGGCUUGGAGGAGAAAGAGGCCUCAAAGGUUUCACAUAUCUAAGUCCAAGGAACUUGAGCUCACAGUCAGACAUCAUAAAACACACAAGGAAAGAAGGCAUCAUGAAUAAAAGCAGGAACCAAUAUUAUUAGACACAACAGAUAAAAUGACCGUAAAGAAAAUUUGGGAAUGUGUAUUUCAGGGAAAAUGAAAAUGAUCCCAAUAAAGAUCGGAGAUGCAGGAAGGAAGGAAAACAUAGAAAUUGAGCCAGUUGGAGUGUGAGGCUUCAGAAUCGCCUUCCAACUCUCUGUGCACUGCACCAGCUGCUUCCCAUAGACUCCUGGUAAAAUAUAGAGCGGAAGGAAGAAGAGCCACUACCCAUAACAUCAGUGGCUGCUAACUAAGGAGUGUUUUGACAUGCUGGUACAGCCUAUCCUCAGCUUUCCAGAAGGUGGAAUCUUGUGAUAGUGGAAAGAAGUAGAAGAGAUGAAGUACCUAUGACUCCAGGAUUUGCCAGUGAAAGAAGUCAACAAUAUUUUAACUUUGAUCUUAACCAAAAGGCCAAGAAGUGAUGCUAAUAUUUUCAUAUACUACGACAGUUGCAGACACACGUCUAUCAUAGCUGGGUAGUAAUCCAGGCAACUCUGCCACAAGUCAUGGGCUCAGCCACCAGUCCACGAAGUCUCCAGUCACACAUAUUGCUUCGGACUAUUCUCUAUCCCCAGUUGUCAAUUAACUAAAAUAUUAAAUGAGGAUGCCAUGGAGUCCCCCAACUGAUUUCAUAAAUUUGGUGUCACAUUGUAAAUCAAGCAGCUGCAGAGUGGCUGGGACAUCUGUUUGGUUCUGUUAUUCUCUUUACUCCAAAAGGAAACUAACUCCAAAAGAAGAAAACCUGAUGUCUGAGCUGAAUCCUAAUCAUGAAGAUGUUUUUCCACCAUUCCUGUCUGUGUUUUUCUACCAUUCCUGUCUGUGUUUUUCUACCAAAGUGUGCUCUUGAAGUUCUGCAUUUCCCAGGGUGUGGUGAAAGAAGAGAAAAAAAUGUCCAAGAUGACUUCAACGUUCUGACCUUGAGUGGCUUGAGUGAAUGGAGUUACAACUGUGCAGAAAGAUUCAGUAGAGAGUUUUGGAUUUAUGCACCAGUAAGGGGAAAACUGAACAGCUGCAGAGAGCUGUAACUUUUAUAGGAGAUUAAUCUAUAAGAGAAGACAGCAAACUACAGCCUGUGUGUCAAAUCCUACUUGCCACGUCCACUGAAAGCUAACUACACUGGAACACUCUCAUUUCUGCAAAGAAAAAUAUCAUAUCCCAGGAUGAAAAGGAGGAGGAAGAGGAAAGGCUAACUUAACAAGAAGCUCUUUGACAUUCUUGAAUUAGACACCCAACGUAGUCCACGCAGUACGGAGGAUGACUUCAGAAGUGCAAUUCUGAUAUGGACUUUGUCUCCCUAAGGCUUUCAGUUCCUCAUAUUUAGGAUAAAACAGAAGUUUAUGUAAAGCCAAGGGAGAGGGUCACCGGGAGAGGGAAGGAGGAACAGCAGAAGGAGAGGUCCACACAUGAAAAUACUUGGAAGCGCCCCAGGGCCUAUCAGAUGCAGGUCUUGGCGGAAAUUACCAAACAUACUUUAGACAGGCUGCUGUGUUGCUGAGUGUGGACUGGCCUCAGGGCCUGCUGAUCAAAGCAAAAGGAAGCAGUGAAAAAAACAUCACCAUGUCUUCUUAGAGUCUAAUCUGGGGGCAAGAGGCCAGCAUGCACAGUUGGUGCUGAUUUUCUUGGGCGGAUAGAGGAAAGGUGUAGGCGUGGCCAACAUUUGAGCAGCAUGUGGUUCCUCUCACACGCCAUGCUGUUUCCGGCCUCCUUGCAUUUUACUCAUGCCAUCCUCCUGGUCACUUCUUUGAGAUAUUAAGUGCAUUCUUUAGGACUCAGACUCAGCUCAAGGGUCAGUGCAUCCAUGAAGCCUUACCUGGAUCCCAGAGGGAGCUCUGUGCUCCUCCUUUGUCUCCUAUAGGACCCAGUACAUGCGUCCAGUAUUAUCCAUACACACUGAAAUGAUCUAGCAUGUGUCUUCCCAUAGGAUUUCAAAUUCUUAGAAUAUAGGAGUGAUGCCUUCUUCCUACUUAUAUUUCCAGUGUUAACAGUGCCUGUCAAUUGACUUGAAGAUAACUAAAAGUCUGGUUGUUAAGGGCUGCUUCCCACCUCCAAAUACUUCCCUGGAAGUCAUUGUAUGGGCACUGACAUUGGUAGGUCUCCACUGGCUUGUAGAUGCUUCUGAUUAUAAGGUAGUCUCAGAUGCCUUCAGAAAGUUCUAAGACUGUAUAAAACAUUUCCUUCACAACCAAUAACUGUGUAUUAUUGUUCGUGUAAUUCCAGAAGUUAUCCUUUUGAUAGAGAGCAAUUACUUUAUUGAUUGAGAGUUAGCUAAUUAUGUAAUAAAGGUAAAGAUUUGCAUAGAGAAGUGUAAGAGACAUGGAGAAGAUUCUUGGUGGGUGGUGAGGGCGGGUACAUUUACACCAGACCAAGACUGAUCUGGCUGUGGCGCUGGAGAUUAAACUGUUUAAAUAUGGGAUCCUAAGAAGACUUCUGUGCAUUCUAGACUUCAAGAGACAGAUUGCAUUUUUUUUUAGGAAAUGUAGAUAAAACCCUUUGACUGAAUGACUCUAGAAAAUAAUACUGAUUUGAGAGAGAAAGGAAAUUCUAAAACAAAAUCCUGACAGCAGAGGCAUGAAUGAUCCUCAUGAGGAAGAAAUGAGACUCUGCUUAACUACACUGUAGAUUUUGGUGUGGAAGAAGAUGGAAGGUGGGUAUAUAGCCAAAUUUUGAAUACAAUAGGGCAGCACAAAACUGUGACAACAGUGGCAGAAGGACUGAAGUACAGAAUGUGUGAAAGUUGUUGUGAAAUAAAUAGAGAGCAACAGAAAAGGACUAUUUGGGCUGGGCAAUGGUAAUCCCAGAACUUUGGGAGGCUGAGUCAGGUGGAUCACCUGAGGUCAGGAGCUCAAGA